UAAAAUCCCAGUGCCAUCAGUUUCCUUCUGUCAGGUGCAUCGCGAUCGUAUUUCGAGUUGCCCGAAAUGGUGAGUGAGAGCGGUGAGAGCUAAACACCCGCAGGAGUGUGCCUCAUACCCGGUUCUAAUCUGUCGGACAAAACACGACUGGUCUUCGGAGCGUCGAUCUGAACCGGCGGACUCGGUACGUGACAUCUAAACACCCGCAGACAGCCGCUGACGGUCGUUGCCGGUGGAAAUGCCCAGAUUGUCAACUCGCGGAAGCCAUUCAUCCAAAGGAGUGAAUUCUCCCAACCUCCAGGCCGUGCAUCAUACCCGGUUCAAAUCUUCCGGACAAAACUUGACCGGGAAGAUGAGCUCCCGGUGGGCUUCCGGCCAAGCUGCAACGUCGUCGGGAUGUGGAAUUCCCCCGGAAGCCGCACGCUCAUCUCCCCGAAGCAGUUCAUCGGCGCCGCAUGGUGUCGAAUGAAGGUUAGCUCCCGGUGGGCUUCCGGCUAAGCUGCAACGUCGUCGGAACGUGGACUUGCCCCGGAAGCUGCACGCUCGGCGUUGAAACGUAACAAAUCAUAAUUGCACCACUAUCGAAACAAGUUGGCCAUGUUGACUUCAAGGCGCGAAAUAGUCGGAAGCUGGACAUCUUCCCAAAGCAGUCCAUCGGCGCCGCAUGGUAUCGAAUGAAGGUUAGCUCGCGGUGGGCUUCCGGCCAAGCUGCAACGUCGUCGAGAUGAGGACUUCGCGCCUCCCCGUCGGAGACUGCUCGAUCAAAAUCGGUAUCCAGGACGAGUGAAAAAGUGAAACUUUUUAACGACCUCUUAAGAAGAAAAAUGCUCAUUCAGUUGGAUUAAUGUCGGUGGGAAUAGAUUUCUUCGAAAUGCAUUGUAUUGUUGUGUUAAUAAAACUGUUAUUUUUUA